AUUGACCAGGGCAUCAUUGAUGGUGAAACCAAAACCCUUGACGCCCUCUCCAAACUAGGCCAUGGCUGCCCGACUUGCUGGUCCGACCGUGACAUCAAGAAUAGCCCAUAGGACAUGAUGGGAGGUUCCACACUGCUAGAUGAUUCAACAAACUUUAGCUGGUUUGUGUGGUCCACUGUACAUAUCCAUCCAUGCUAACUAAUCG
rnacentral:lncRNA from 1 species